UACGUAGGGGGCAAGCGUUGUCCGGAAUCAUUGGGCGUAAAGCGAGCGUAGGCGGCCCGAUAAGUCUGCUGUGAAAGUCAACGGCUCAACCGUUGAAAGCCGGUGGAUACUGUCGGGCUAGAGUUCGGAAGAGGCAAGUGGAAUUCCUGGUGUAGCGGUGGAAUGCGCAGAUAUCAGGAGGAACACCCAUAGCGAAGGCGGCACUCUGGGACGGUACUGACGCUGAGACGCGAAAGCGUGGGGAGCGAACAGG
rnacentral:rRNA from 1 species